rnacentral:lncRNA from 1 species
UCCUCUUGGUAAACAUGUGUUAUUAUCUCUUAGCUGUUGCACAGCAUUUGCUAUGCUUAGCUACUCUCGCACCUUCCUGAUAAUAUAGUUCCAGACGUUGCCGAGUGCUCUGUGUUUCGACCUGGAGCAGCGACACCAAACCUCCUGUCGGUCAGGUAUGAUUCGGUUUAGGAUGGCAUUCUGUAAGUUACUCAUUAGUCUUCUAGUUAAGUAUAUGCGGUGUAUUUUGUCAGUACUCCUAUAUCAAUGGUGUUUCGAUACAUGAGAGCAAAAUGUCUUGUGAAUUCAACGGGGAUUCUCAAUUAAUUCAUGGUAAUCCACAUGAGUAAUAUAUGUCUAUCGGAUUAGCUGUGACUGUCAUGGGCGUGGAUGUAAUUAAAGGCAAUCAACCAAUCAAGAGAAUGCUAAUAUUUUAGGUUCAUCCAACAGAUAUCUAAAACUGAAUAAGUUGUAUUGGGAACACAUAUUUUUGUCUUAAAUUUAGGCUAUAAGAGAGUUAAUUUUAGGAAUGUGUAAAUAUUAAGAAUGUAUUUGGUAACCUGUUGAAGAUAUAUUUUUUAGUCCAAUUCCUAAAACUCAGUUUUAGGAAUCAAUUUUAGACAUCUCUUGGAGAUGCUUAAGUAUGCAGCAUUGUGACAUUGGUCUCUUGGGUCCGAACCGCUAGGGAUGCAUGCCGGCAAGGAUGUCCCUAUACUGAAACAGAGUACGAGUACUGUUUCUUGUUAAGCUGUCUAAUUUGUUCGUUAUUUAGAUGAUACAAGCCAACACUGAGCUGGCUGCCAACAAGCGCGAACGGAGAUUUAGGCCAGGAGAAGAUCACAAAGAGAGACUGGUCAGGUUCCCUGUUACAGUGUACAUCAGAUCUCAUGAUUGGUUCGAGUUUCCAGUUACAGUGUACAUCAGAUCUCAUGAUUGGACAAAAUUCAUUAAUUACAAAUGUUUUCACCAACUAGAUCUUUACAGGGGAUAGUACAUGAAAAUGAACAUUUCUCAGUCGUUUUGAUAGACGAAGCAUGGCCUGUCUCGGAAAAUGCAUUUUGUCCACCGGCACAAAUGUGUUUCUUUAAGUAGUGACACUCAUUCUUAGUUUUGUUCUUAGAUGAGAAGAUCCACGUUAUAAUCGUGAACAUAUCUGCUCCAAUUUUGGAUUGAUCAUUGGCCCUUAAUUAUCGAAGGCUGAAUUAUUGAAUGUACAUAUCAUGAUUUAUUG